GUUAAAAAAAAAAAAAAGACAGCUGACAUGUAUCCUUUGCCCCUUUUUCUACCUGUCCUCCAUUCUGCUGGCUGGAACGUGGACUUGGAAGCGGGAACUGGAGCAGCCAUCUUCGACCAAGAGACCCUUCCUCCUCUGGCCACUGCAAGUAUCACCCUGAUGUGUCUCCUGAAGAUGGAGACCCUGCCUCUCUGGAUGGCUGUCGUCAGCUGCCUUCUCCUGGAAUAAAUGCUUUCGUGGAAGCAGAGGACCUUGAGGAGUCCACUGAUCACCCGCUUGGACGUCGCAGCAAGGUCAAGUUGCCUUCAGGCUUCCAGAAUGGUUACUCUCAAUUUCUGUGCUUUUCUUAUUGUGGACAAGCACUGGUCCACGGACCACACUUUGAGUAGCACGGGUUUAUAAGAUGGCGAAUCCCUUAAAGGGAGGAACCAUUUCUUUAUAUUUUAUCCAUUCUUUGGAUUUGUAGCAGACCACCCAAAAGAUGUCCUCUCCUUUCCCAGAAAGGGAUGCCUACCUAUUAGUUUUCCCUGUGUUUUGAAUUUGGAAAGUUCUGCCAGUAUUAAAUACUAUUAUUAUUAUUA